rnacentral:rRNA from 1 species
UGCAAGUCGAACGAACUUAACCAUUAGUUUACUAUUGGAGCGGUUAGUGGCGGACUGGUGAGUAACACGUAAGCAACCUGCCUAUCAGAGGGGAACAACAGUUAGAAAUGACUGCUAAUACCGCAUAUGCCUUGAGUAUCACAUGGUACAAAAGGGAAAGGAGCAAUCCGCUGAUAGAUGGGCUUGCGUCUGAUUAGAUAGUUGGUGAGGUAACGGCCCACCAAGUCGACGAUCAGUAGCCGGACUGAGAGGUUGAACGGCCACAUUGGGACUGAGAUACGGCCCAGACUCCUACGGGAGGCAGCAGUCGGGAAUAUUGCGCAAUGGAGGAAACUCUGACGCAGUGACGCCGCGUGCAGGAAGAAGGUUUUCGGAUUGUAAACUGCUUUAGACAGGGAAGAAACAAGACAGUACCUGUAGAAUAAGCUCCGGCUAACUACGUGCCAGCAGCCGCGGUAAUACGUAGGGAGCAAGCGUUAUCCGGAUUUAUUAGGUGUAAAGGGUGCGUAGACGGGAAAUUAAGUUAGUUGUGAAAUCCCUCGGCUUAACUGAGGAACUGCAACUAAAACUGAUUUUCUUGAGUGCUGGAGAGGAAAGUGGAAUUCCUAGUGUAGCGGUGAAAUGCGUAGAUAUUAGGAGGAACACCAGUGGCGAAGGCGACUUUCUGGACAGUAACUGACGUUGAGGCACGAAAGUGUGGGGAGCAAACAGGAUUAGAUACCCUGGUAGUCCACACCGUAAACGAUGGAUACUAGGUGUAGGGUGUGAUAAACAUUCUGUGCCGUCGCAAACGCAGUAAGUAUCCCACCUGGGGAGUACGGCCGCAAGGUUGAAACUCAAAGGAAUUGACGGGGG